rnacentral:misc_RNA from 1 species
ACAAGGUUUCCGUAGGUGAACCUGCGGAAGGAUCAUUAUCGAAUAAACUUGAACAGGCUGUUGCUGACUCCGUGCACGCUUGUCAUCUUUAUUUCUCCAACUGUGCACUUAUUGUAGACUUGGGAGGGAGGAUUUUUUUCCCCCUCCGAGUCUAUGUUGCUUUUCACAAUCUUUGAAUGUGUUAGGAAUGUGGAUAAAUGAAAUAAUAUAAUACAACUUUCAGCAAUGGAUCUCUUGGCUCUCGCAUCGAUGAAGAACGCAGCGAAAUGCGAUAAGUAAUGUGAAUUGCAGAAUUCAGUGAAUCAUCGAAUCUUUGAACGCAUCUUGCGCUCCUUGGUAUUCCGAGGAGCAUGCCUGUUUGAGUGUCGUUAAUAUCUCAACCGCACCAUUGGGGGUGUGGCUUGGAUUUGGGGGUUAUGCAGGCUCUGGCUUGUAGUCUGCUCCCCUGAAAUGCAUGAGUGGUUGAACCCUCUGUUAGGUGUGAUAAUUAUCUGCAUCUGAUGGAAAGGUCAUGGCUGCUUAUAUGUCGUCGGAUUUGAUAAACUUGACCUCAAAUCAGGUAAGACCACCCGCUGAACUUAAGCAUAUCAAUAAGCGGAGGAAAAGAAACUAACCAGGAUUCCCUCAGUAACUGCGAGUGAAGUGGGAAGAGCUCAAAUUUGUAAUCUGGCAGCCACCUGGCCGUCCGAGUUGUAAUCUAAAGAA